rnacentral:misc_RNA from 1 species
UGGAAAUAGCAGGCAACCUGAAAAAAGAAAUUAGACAUGACAUUACACCACGCAAUAUAAAAAGGCUUCCUCUCCAGAGAAUUUUAUACAUGAGUAUCUGAGACAAAAAUCUUCUGAAACCAACAACAGGCCUACUACAUAAUAUAUCUCAAUCCGAUCUUCCAAGUGACCAAAUAUCCUCUACCUAACUAAGGCAAAGAACUUACAGAGAAAUAGCACUUGGAAGAG